CCGUGCCCUCACUAAAGGUGUCGGCGCCCAUAGCGGGUGGGAGGAAGAUGGUCAGAGGAGGCGGAAGUGGGGUUGGCCUCCUCCCGGGAGGGUGAGAGCAGGAGGGGAAGGACGCCGUUAAGGCUCGGAGGGGGAGGAGGCGACGAGCCUCGCCGUCGUUGCCAGUUCCACAAUGGCAGACACUAAUCCCUCCCCUCUGAAACACUUUGUGCUGGCAAAGAAGAAGAUUACAGCUAUUUUUGAACAGCUGCUGGAUUAUGUUACAGAAGGAACGGAUUUUGUUAACGAAACCUAUGAAAACCCAGAGC